AAGGAAAGAGGGAGGCAGGCCUAACACAUGCAAGUCGAGCGGAUGAAGGGAGCUUGCUCCUGGAUUCAGCGGCGGACGGGUGAGUAAUGCCUAGGAAUCUGCCUGGUAGUGGGGGAUAACGUCCGGAAACGGGCGCUAAUACCGCAUACGUCCUGAGGGAGAAAGUGGGGGAUCUUCGGACCUCACGCUAUCAGAUGAGCCUAGGUCGGAUUAGCUAGUUGGUGGGGUAAAGGCCUACCAAGGCGACGAUCCGUAACUGGUCUGAGAGGAUGAUCAGUCACACUGGAACUGAGACACGGUCCAGACUCCUACGGGAGGCAGCAGUGGGGAAUAUUGGACAAUGGGCGAAAGCCUGAUCCAGCCAUGCCGCGUGUGUGAAGAAGGUCUUCGGAUUGUAAAGCACUUUAAGUUGGGAGGAAGGGCAGUAAGUUAAUACCUUGCUGUUGUGACGUUACCAACAGAAUAAGCACCGGCUAACUUCGUG
rnacentral:rRNA from 1 species